rnacentral:rRNA from 1 species
GACAGAGGGUGCAACCGUUGUUCGGAAUUACUGGGCGUAAAGCGUGUGUAGGCGGUCUCAUAAGUCGGGUGUGAAAGCCCAGGGCUCAACCCUGGAAGUGCACUCGAAACUGCGAGGCUUGAGUACCGGAGAGGUUGGUGGAAUUCUCGGUGUAGAGGUGAAAUUCGUAGAUAUCGAGAGGAACACCGGUGGCGAAGGCGGCCAACUGGACGAGUACUGACGCUGAGACACGAAAGCGUGGGGAGCAAACAGG